AAAGAAACUAACAAGGAUUCCCUUAGUAACUGCGAGUGAAGAGGGAAGAGCUCAAAUUUAAAAUCUGGCAGUGUUUUGCUGUCCGAGUUGUAAUCUAGAGAAGUGCUGCCCGUGCUGGACCAUGUACAAGUCUCCUGGAAUGGAGCGUCACAGAGGGUGAGAAUCCCGUCUUUGACAUGGACUACCAGUGCAUUUGUGGUGUGCUCUCAAAGAGUCGAGUUGUUUGGGAAUGCAGCUCUAAAUGGGUGGUAAACUCCAUCUAAAGCUAAAUAUUGGCGAGAGACCGAUAGCGAACAAGUACCGUGAGGGAAAGAUGAAAAGAACUUUGGAAAGAGAGUUAAACAGUAUGUGAAAUUGUUGAAAGGGAAACGCUUAAAGUCAGUCGUGUCGGCCAGGGAUCAACUCAGCUUUCUCUGCUGGGUGUACUUCCUGAUCUGAUGGGCCAACAUCAGUUUUGACUGCUGGAGAAGGACAGAGGGAAUGUGGCACCUUCGGGUGUGUUAUAGCUCUCUGUCAGAUGCAGUGGUUGGGACUGAGGAUUGCAGCAUGCCGCAAGGCCGGGUCGUUUCGACCACGUUCAUGCUGAGGAUGUUGGCAUAAUGGCUUUAAUCGACCCGUCUUGA
rnacentral:rRNA from 2 species